rnacentral:rRNA from 1 species
UCGCCUGUUUAUCAAAAACAUCUCUUCUUGGUUUGUUUUUUGAAGUAUGGCCUGCCCACUGAUGAUGUUUGAAGGGCCGCGGUAUUUUGACCGUGCAAAGGUAGCAUAAUCAUUAGUUCUUUAAUUGUGAACUGGUAUGAAUGGCUUGACGAGGUGCUUACUGUCUUUGUGUUUAAAAGUUUUGUUGAAUUUGGUCUUCGGGUAAAAAUACUCGGAUUUUAUUGUGGGACAGAGCCUAUAGAGUUUUAUGCAAUCUUCUUUUUUUUGUUUGUUAUUUCUUGCUGAGUUUGGUUGCAUUUUGUUGGGGUGAUGGGAAAAUAUAUUUAACUUUUCUUCUUAACAUUUCACUUAUUUGUGUUUUUAUGAUCCUUUAUUAUUGAUUAUAAGAUUAAAUUACCUUAGGGAUAACAGCGUAAA